GCCACAUUGGCUCAGUGGUAGUAGCGUCGGUCUUGUAAACCGAAGGUCGCUGGUUCAAUCCCAGCAUGUGGCA
rfam:Parastrongyloides trichosuri strain KNP genome assembly, scaffold: PTRK_scaffold0000007